rnacentral:rRNA from 1 species
GACGAACGCUGGCGGCGUGCUUAACACAUGCAAGUCGAACGGAAAGGCCCUGCUUUUGUGGGGUGCUCGAGUGGCGAACGGGUGAGUAACACGUGAGUAACCUGCCCUUGACUUUGGGAUAACUUCAGGAAACUGGGGCUAAUACCGGAUAGGAGCUCCUGCUGCAUGGUGUGGGUUGGAAAGUUUCGGCGGUUGGGGCUGGACUCGCGGCUUAUCAGCUUGUUGGUGGGGUAGUGGCUUACCAAGGCUUUGACGGGUAGCCGGCCUGAGAGGGUGACCGGCGACAUUGGGACUGAGGUACGGCCCAGAAUCCUACGGGAGGCAGCAGUGGGGAAUAUUGCACAAUGGGCGGAAGCCUGAUGCAGAAACGCCGCGUGCGGGAUGACGGCCUUCGGGUUGUAAACCGAUUUCGCCUGUGACGAAGCGUGAGUGACGGUAAUGGGUAAAGAAGCACCGGCUAACUACGUG